GAUGAAGAACGCAGCGAAAUGUGAUACUUGGUGUGAAUUGCAGAAUCCCGUGAACCAUCGAGUCUUUGAACGCAAGUUGCGCCCGAAGCCAUUAGGCCGAGGGCACGCCUGCCUGGGCGUCACACGUCGUUGCCCCCCCAUCUACUCCUUCGGGAUUGCGGGGGGCGGAUGAUGGCCUCCCGUGCGCCUCGCCGCGCGGUUGGCAUAAAUGCCAAGUCCUCGGCGACGCACGCCACGACAAUCGGUGGUGGCGAAACCUCGGUUGCCCGUCGUGUGCGGUCGUCGCGCAUCGAGGGCUCGAAAAAAUUGCCGGGUUCCGGCUCGGCUUUCAACGCGACCCCAGGUCAGGCGGGGUUACCCGCUGAAUUUAAGCAUAUCAAUAAGCGGAGGA
rnacentral:misc_RNA from 1 species